rnacentral:rRNA from 1 species
AGAUUGAACGCUGGCGGAAUGCUUUACACAUGCAAGUCGAACGGCAGCACGGGGGCAACCCUGGUGGCGAGUGGCGAACGGGUGAGUAACACAUCGGAACGUGCCCAGUCGUGGGGGAUAACGUAGCGAAAGCUACGCUAAUACCGCAUACGAACUCUGGUUGAAAGCGGGGGAUCGCAAGACCUCGCGCGAUUGGAGCGGCCGAUGGCAGAUUAGGUAGUUGGUGGGGUAAAGGCUCACCAAGCCGACGAUCUGUAGCUGGUCUGAGAGGACGACCAGCCACACUGGGACUGAGACACGGCCCAGACUCCUACGGGAGGCAGCAGUGGGGAAUUUGGACAAUGGGCGCAAGCCUGAUCCAGCCAUUCCGCGUGCAGGAUGAAGGCCCUCGGUGUAACUGCUUUUGUACGGAACGAAAGGCUUCCUCUAAGUACGGGAGCGUUCAUGACGGUACCGUAAGAAUAAGCAACCGGCUAACGUACGUGCCAGCAGCCGCGUAAU